rnacentral:rRNA from 1 species
CCCUUAGACGUUCUGGGCCGCAUGCGCGCUACACUGACGAAGGCAACGAGCUACUCUUCACCGAAAGGUGUGGGUAAUCUUUUGAAACUUCGUCGUGCUGGGGAUAGAUCCUUGCAAUUUUUGAUCUUAAACGAGGAAUUCCUAGUAAGCGCAAGUCAUCAACUUGCGUUGAUUACGUCCCUGCCCUUUGUACACACCGCCCGUCGCUACUACCGAUUGAAUGGUUUAGUGAGGCCUUCGGAUCCGCGAUUUUAUUGUGGAGAAGUUGGACAAACUCAGUCAUUUAGAGGAAGUAAAAGUCGUAACA